rnacentral:rRNA from 1 species
GCAGCUCAAAAUGGGUGGUAAAUUUCAUCUAAAGCUAAAUACUGGCUGGAGACCGAUAGCGCACAAGUAGAGUGAUCGAAAGAUGAAAAGCACUUUGGAAAGAGAGUCAAAAAGUACGUGAAAUUGUUGAAAGGGAAGCGCUUGCAACCAGACCUGUCCGUGGGUGAUCAGCCGCCGUUCUCGGUGGUGCACUCGCCUACGAUCAGGCCAGCAUCGGUUCGGGCGGUCGGACAAAGGCCUUGGGAAUGUAGCUCCUCUCGGGGAGUCUUACAGCCCUCGGUGCAAUGCGGCCAGCCCGGACCGAGGACCGCGCUUCGGCUAGGAUGCUGGCGUAAUGGUUGUAAGCGACCCGUCUUGAAACACGGACCAAGGAGUCUAACAUCUAUGCGAGUGUUUGGGUGUCAAACCCGUACGCGGAAUGAAAGUGAACGGAGGUGAGAACCCUUUAGGGCGCAUCAUCGACCGAUCCAGAUGUCUUCGGAUGGAUUUGAGUAUGAGCAUAGCUGUUGGGACCCGAAAGAUGGUGAACUAUGCCUGAAUAGGGUGAAGCCAGAGGAAACUCUGGUGGAGGCUCGCAGCGGUUCUGACGUGCAAAUCGAUCGUCAAAUUUGGGUAUAGGGGCGAAAGACUAAUCGAACCAUCUUGUAGCUGGUUCCUGCCGAAGUUUCCCUCAGGAUAGCAGUAACGUUUUCAGUUUUAUGUGGUAAAGNGAANNAUUAGAGGCCUUGGGG